UGUAUAAUGGGUCAGCGACUUAUAUUCUGUAGCAAGGUUAACCGUAUAGGGGAGCCGCAGGGAAACCGAGUCUUAACUGGGCGUUAAGUUGCAGGGUAUAGACCCGAAACCCGGUGAUCUAGCCAUGGGCAGGUUGAAGGUUGGGUAACACUAACUGGAGGACCGAACCGACUAAUGUUGAAAAAUUAGCGGAUGACUUGUGGCUGGGGGUGAAAGGCCAAUCAAACCGGGAGAUAGCUGGUUCUCCCCGAAAGCUAUUUAGGUAGCGCCUCGUGAACUCAUCUUCGGGGGUAGAGCACUGUUUCGGCUAGGGGGUCAUCCCGACUUACCAACCCGAUGCAAACUACGAAUACCGAAGAAUGUUAUCACGGGAGACACACGGCGGGUGCUAACGUCCGUCGUGAAGAGGGAAACAACCCAGACCGCCAGCUAAGGUCCCAAAGUCAUGGUUAAGUGGGAAACGAUGUGGGAAGGCCCAGACAGCCAGGAUGUUGGCUUAGAAGCAGCCAUCAUUUAAAGAAAGCGUAAUAGCUCACUGGUCGAGUCGGCCUGCGCGGAAGAUGUAACGGGGCUAAACCAUG
rnacentral:rRNA from 1 species